AUUGAACGCUGGCGGCAGGCCUAACACAUGCAAGUCGAGCGGAGCGGAGGACGGGUGAGUAAUGCCUAGGAAUUUGCCUGGUCGUGGGGGAUAACGUCCGGAAACGGGCGAUAAUACCGCAUACUAUAAGAUGAGGCUCGGUCGGAUUAGCUAGUGGGGGGGGUAAAGGCCUACCAAGGCGACGAGCCGUAACUGGUCUGGGAGGAUGAUCAGCCACACUGGAACUGAGACACGGUCCAGACUCCUACGGGAGGCAGCAGUGGGGAAUAUUGGACAAUGGGCGAAAGCCUGAUCCAGCCAUGCCGCGUGUGUGAAGAAGGUCUUCGGAUUGUAAAGCACUUUAAGUUGGGAGGCGUUACCAACAGAGUAAGCACCGGCUAACUACGUGCCAGCCGCCGCGGUAAUAC
rnacentral:rRNA from 1 species